AUUCGUCAAGAGCCCAGGGAAUGGAGUGCAUAGAACUGAAAACACCUGGCGGGGCGCGGCGGCACACGCCUAUAAUCCCAGCACUUUGGAAGGCUGAGGCGGGAAGAUCGCUUGAGUCCAGGAGUUCGAGACCAGCCUGGGCAACAUAGCAAGGCCCCGUCUUUACAAAAAAUUUAAAAAUUAGCAGGGUCUGGUUACAGGAGCCUGUAGUUCCAGCUACUUGGGAGGUGGGAAGAUCGCUUGAGCCCGGUAGGUUGAGGCUGCACUGAGCUAUGAUCGCGCCCCUGCACUCCGACCUGGUAGACAGAGCCAGACCCUGUCUCAACGAAAGGAAAGAAAUGGGCCGGGCGCGGUGGCUCACGCCUGUAAUCCCAGCACUUUGGAAGGCCGACACGGGCGGAUCACGAGGUUAGGAGAUCGAGACCAUCCUGGCUAACACGGUGAAACCCCGUCUCUACUAAAAAUACAAAAAAUUAGCCGGGCGUGGUGGCGGGCGCCUGUAGUCCCAGCUACUCGGGAGCCUGAGGCACGAGAAUGGUGUGAACCCGGGAGGCGGAGCUUUUAGUGAGCCGAGAUCGUGCCACUGCACUCCAGCCUGGGCGACAGAGCAAGACUCCGUUCCCCCCCCCCCAAAAAAAACAAAGGAAAUAAAUGAAAACAUUGAGGCUAGACUAACUGAUGAAGAGUGGUAACGGCAUGAAGAAGUCGAAAAGAAAGGCGGAUAGGAGCUGCAUUCAAUAUAUGAGUGCAGUUGAUGGAUGCUGACAGGGAUACUCUGGAGACGAAGUCUCGGCCCCUUCGCUAGUCUCUAGUCCUCCAUUUGCUCGCUGCAGUUACAUCAACAGCUCUCUGUAUCGGGGUAGAGUUGCAUAAAAUACAACUUAAAUUACAAUGCUAAAAUAAAUAUGAGCCCAUGAGCGGUAUCAUAGGCCUGAUUUUAAAAAACAAAACCUAGGAGAAGGUAGAAAUUCCAAAGGCGAGAGACGAAUCUGCCAACCUAAAUCCUGGGUGACAAGGCUGGUGGAUCACCGAGGCAAGAAAGAACCAGCGUGAGCUCAAGCCACACCCCUAGGCUCAGACCCAACGCUUGACAUUCGCCGCCGCACUUUCGCCACGCUUGCCGAAGCGCACCCGGCUAACUAGAGGAGGCGGGGCUGAAACCAUAAAAGGGAACUGGGGCGGAGCGAGCUGCGUCGUCGCCAAGGCAACUCGAGAGCUAAGUCCGGGCCUCGGCGGAGCCGGCGCUGCGAAUGGACUGAUGGCCGCUGAGGCUGCUCCUGGCGCGGUUCAUCAUCGGCCGCCGCACUUUCGCGACUGAGACGAAACGACACUCACCUUUACUUAAUGGAAGGCUUCGCUUACAUCCUGAACUUAAAGGAACUACAGAAAGGGACAGAAACUGCUUUCUUUUUAAACAAUGCGCUGAAAGGGGCGCCGCCACUCGGGGUCCGACCAUUCGCCUCCAACGAGGGGACAGCGAAUCUGCUGUCGUGUGCAGUCCACAGCAACCACAGGUGGGGCAACAGGAGGAGCGCUUGGGCACGACCACGUGACCCAGCACGAGCCACCGCCCGCCCCAAAAUGAAAUCAAAUCCUAAUCUCCCAAUCCCGGCAUGCCGGUCACUCCAGCCUUUCCAGGAGACUUGCGGCCGUGCAGCCCCUACACCUUUAUCUGGACUCCUGUCGUACUUGGCCCAGCUCCACUGGAUUCAGCCCUUGGAUAACCACCCUACCAGCCCCUAAAGAUGACUCCAUCCCCGUCGGUAUAGUUAAUUAAAGAAAAACAGGAGUCGAAUUUUCCUGGGGUAACUGGUUCUUUAGCAGGAGGGGAGCACUGGGGAGUAUCUUCAGGGUGGCUGGACUUUGCAGCCUCUUUAAUAACUUCCCCCUGUGCAGGUUGUAUCCUUUAUCACCCCACCCCGAUGCCCCGGUCUUCAGGAAAUGGCAGCAGGCCCAUAUUUCUGUAGGGUUCAGAGUUCUGUGAGGUAGAGCAUUCCUUCCAAUGGGAUCUUAGAAUUCCUAGAGUUGCAGAAUUUUACUGACUAGACCCAGGAGGUCUCAGGAGUCCAGACUUGCUUAAAGCUUGGCUCAAAAUUCCAAGGGAGCUCAUAACUCCAUGGGGCCCAGAGUUCCUGGCUCGGGAACAUUGGGAGGCCUGGGAUACAGUGCCUUAGCCUCAAGCAGAAAAGUGAACACAAUAUCUUUAUGGCUUGAAGGUAUAUGAAAUAAUGUCACUACAUCGGAGCAGCGCCUCUGCUUGCACACCUAUGGGAGUCUGCAGCUGUGACACGUAGAAGUUGGCCACAUCCAGGUCGGUGGCUCCAAAGUGGGCGGCCACACGCACACCCUCGUGCAACGUGAAGCUCACCUGAUGACCCACCAUGGCCAGCAGGCUGCGGAGGUAACGCUCCCGAAGGGCGGCUCGUGCCCGCUGCUCCUGGGAUUCCAGGGAUUCUUGAGCUAUGGGACACUCCUGGAUUUCAGGAACCUCUGGCCUCAAGGGGGCUCUGCGUCCAUCAGGGGCAAAGCCACGGCUGAAGCCAUCAGGGCCCCGGGGCAGCCGGAGCACAGGCACGGGAAUGUUCACUGGAGUUUGCAUUGUCUUGGCUGUUGAGUGAAGAAAAAGAGCAGGAAGUCAUUACAUGGCUCUUCCUGUCUCUGCACCUGAACUGUGAGCCCCUUGCAAGACAGGACCCUGCAGAUAGACCAAGGAUGUGAACCAGGGCUACUCAGUCUGGACACUAUUGACAUUUGGGGCUGGAUAAUUAUCUGCUAUGUUGUGGGGGCUGUCCAACGCAUAGGUGUAGGGUUUGAGCAGCAUCCUAGCCUCUGCCUCCUAUUAAUAGAUGCCAGUAGCAUCCCAUCUUCAAGUUGUGACAGCCAAAAAUGUCACCACUGGUGAACAGUGAAUUGGUGAAUGUGAAUUGCAUCUCAAUACAGUUUUUUUUUAAAGUCUCCAUGAAUUGCCAAACGUCUCCUGAUGGCCCCAAAUGAAACACUGAUGCAGACAAACAGGUCACAAAGAGGGAGGAAGGAAUAAAGAUGGCUAUAGAAGACAUGAACAUAGGCUGGGCACAGUGGCUCCCGCCUGUAAACCCAGAACUUUGGGAGGCCGAGGCAGGCGGAUCACCUGAGGUCAGGAGUUUGAGACCAACCUGGUCAACACGGUGAAACCCUGUCUGUACUAAGAAAUACAAAAAUUAGCCGGGUGUUGGCCGGGCACUGUGGCUCACGCCUGUAAUUCCAGCACUUUGAGAGGCCGAGGUGGGCGGAUCACCUGAGGUCAGGAGUUCGAGACCAGCCUGACCAACAUGGAGAGACCCUGCCUCUACUAAAAAUACAAAAU
rnacentral:lncRNA from 1 species